GACGAACGCUGGCGGCGUGCUUAACACAUGCAAGUCGAACGGAAAGGCCCUGCUUUUGUGGGGUGCUCGAGUGGCGAACGGGUGAGUAACACGUGAGUAACCUGCCCUUGUCUUUCGGAUAACUUCAGGAAACUGCGGCUAAUACCGGGUAGGAGCUCCUGAUGCAUGGUGGGGGAUGGAAAAAUUCGGCGGUUGGGGCUGGAUUCGCGGCUUAUCAGCUUGUUGGUGGGGUAGGGGCUUACCAAGGGUUUGAAGGGUAGGCGGCAUGAGAGGGUGGCCGGCCACAUGGGUACUGCGGUACGGAGCAGUAGCCAAUGGGAGGCAGUAGUGGAGAAUAUGACAGAACGGGCGGGAGCGAGAUACGGAAAUGCCGCGAGCGGGAUGACGUCUUUCGAGUGGUAAACCAAUGUCGCAGGUGACGAAGCGGGAGUGACGGUAAUGGGUCAAAAAGCACCGGCUAACUACGUG
rnacentral:rRNA from 1 species